UCGAGAAUCUUCGGCAAUGGGCGCAAGCCUGACCGAGCGACGCCGCGUGCGGGAUGAAGGCCCUCGGGUUGUAAACCGCUGUCGGAGGGAAAGAAAUGCCAGAGGGUUCUCCCUCUGGUUUGACUGACCCUUAGAGGAAGUACGGGCUAAGUUCGUGCCAGCAGCCGCGGUAAGACGAACCGUACAAACGUUACUCGGAAUCACUGGGCUUAAAGGGUGCGUAGGCUGUCCGGUAAGUUGGGUGUGAAAUACCUCGGCUCAACCGAGGAAUUGCGCCCAAAACUGUCGGACUCGAGGGAGACAGAGGUGAGCGGAACUUAGGGUGGAGCGGUGAAAUGCGUUGAUAUCCUAAGGAACACCAGGGGCGAAAGCGGCUCACUGGGUCUCUUCUGACGCUGAGGCACGAAAGCUAGGGGAGCGAACG
rnacentral:rRNA from 1 species